AGCACCCACGUUUUCUUCAUGGCCGAGAGAGCGGUGCAGAGCUUUUAGGACAUACAUAUUGAUUGGGAGAAACGGACUAACACCGACAUGCCUCGUAAGGAGAGGAGGCAGAAGCAGCGACAGAAAGAGCUACGUGAGGCAGCUAAAGGCAGUGGGUCCCUCACCAGCUGGAUAAAAAAAGAGUACAGUCUGAGAUCAACACAGCCUUGCCCUCCAGCAUCAGCAGCAGCAGCACGAGGAGCAACCCUGCAACAGCUACACUGUACCCCAUCAUAAGGUAAAAUAGGACAGCAAUAGAUCAGGAGGUGGAGCAGCUUGUCCAGCAAUAAGAAGGUUGCAGGUUUGAUCCUGACUUCAAUCAGAGAUUGAUGCUGUUGUGUCCUUGGGCAAGAAACUUAACCUGCUUUGCCUGCUGGUGGUGGUCG